rnacentral:rRNA from 1 species
AACGAACGCUGGCGGCAUGCCUAACACAUGCAAGUCGAACGAGACCUUCGGGCCUAGUGGCGCACGGGUGCGUAACGCGUGGGAACCUGCCCUUAGGUUCGGAAUAACUCACCGAAAGGUGUGCUAAUACCGGAUAAUGUCUUCGGACCAAAGAUUUAUCGCCUUUGGGUGGGCCCGGGUUGGAUUAGCGGGUUGGUAGGGUAAAAGCCGACCAAGGCGGCGAGCCAUAGCUGGUCUGAGAGGAUGAUCAGCCAGACUGGGACUGGGACACGGCCCAGACUCCUACGGGAGGCAGCAGUGGGGAAUAUUGGACAAUGGGCGUAAGCCUGAUCCAGCAAGGCCGCGUGAGUGAUGAAGGCGUUAGGGUUGUAAAGCUCUUUUACCCGGGAUGAUAAUGACAGAACCGGGAGAAUAAGCCCCGGCUAACUCCGU